AGUGAACGCUGGCGGCAGGCCUAACACAUGCAAGUCGAACGGCAGCACAAGAGAGCUUGCUCUCUGGGUGGCGAGUGGCGGACGGGUGAGGAAUGCAUCGGAAUCUGCCCAUUUGUGGGGGAUAACCUCGGGAAACCGGGACUAAUACCGCAUACGACCUACGGGUGAAAGCAGGGGAUCUUCGGACCUUGCGCAGAUGGAUGAGCCGAUGCCGGAUUAGCUAGUUGGAGGGGUAAAGGCCCACCAAGGCGACGAUCCGUAGCUGGUCUGAGAGGAUGAUCAGCCACACUGGGACAGAGACACGGCCCAGACUCCUACGGGAGGCAGCAGUGGGGAAUAUUGGACAAUGGGCGCAAGCCUGAUCCAGCCAUGCCGCGUGUGUGAAGAAGGCCUUCGGGUUGUAAAGCACUUUUGUUGGGAAAGAAAAGCAGCCGGUUAAUACCCGGUUGUCAUGACGGUACCCAAAGAAUAAGCACCGGCUAACUUCGUG
rnacentral:rRNA from 1 species